rnacentral:rRNA from 1 species
UACGUAGGUGGCAAGCGUUAUCCGGAUUUAUUGGGCGUAAAGCGAGCGCAGGCGGUUGCUUAGGUCUGAUGUGAAAGCCUUCGGCUUAACCGAAGAAGUGCAUCGGAAACCGGGCAACUUGAGUGCAGAAGAGGACAGUGGAACUCCAUGUGUAGCGGUGGAAUGCGUAGAUAUAUGGAAGAACACCAGUGGCGAAGGCGGCUGUCUGGUCUGCAACUGACGCUGAGGCUCGAAAGCAUGGGUAGCGAACA